rfam:Nocardia terpenica strain IFM 0406 genomic scaffold scaffold1, whole genome shotgun sequence.
AGCGCCACCGGAUCCACGGCGCGCGUCACCACCAGAUAGUCGCGAAUGACGAUGCCGUGCCGGUUCUC